CCUACGGGGUGCAGCAGUGGGGAAUAUUGGACAAUGGGCGAAAGCCUGAUCCAGCCAUGCCGCGUGUGUGAAGAAGGCCUUCGGGUUGUAAAGCACUUUCAGUGGGGAAGAAAGCCUUGGGGCUAAUACCCUCGAGGAAGGACAUCACCCACAGAAGAAGCACCGGCUAACUCCGUGCCAGCAGCCGCGGUAAUACGGAGGGUGCGAGCGUUAAUCGGAAUUACUGGGCGUAAAGCGCGCGUAGGCGGUCUGAUAAGCCGGUUGUGAAAGCCCCGGGCUCAACCUGGGAACGGCAUCCGGAACUGUCAGGCUAGGGUGCAGGAGAGGAAGGUAGAAUUCCCGGUGUAGCGGUGAAAUGCGUAGAGAUCGGGAGGAAUACCAGUGGCGAAGGCGGCCUUCUGGACUGACACUGACGCUGAGGUGCGAAAGCGUGGGUAGCAAACAGGAUUAGAUACCCCGUAGUC
rnacentral:rRNA from 1 species